UAAGCUUCUGUUCAUGCAGUUGAUACAGUUUCAUUAUAUGCCACAUUUAUUAUUUCAAGAAUGGCCAGAAAUCCUGGCAGGAAUUAUUAGCAUGCAUGGGAUGUCUGUUUUACCUUUUUAAACUCUUCUGGCUCUUGCUGGUUUUGGGACUGGUAUUGUGGAAGAAACAUUUUAUUAGGGCUAAACCUCCAUUUAUUCCACUCAGUUAUCAGUGCUUAAAGGAGGCAUUUGUAUUGCAAACCUCUCUUGACUCUCUGGGAUGGAAGUAUGUGCCCUGCAUAGAUCCCUUUAGAAAAUGGGGUGAGCUGAAAAGAACAUCACUCCUCCCAGCUGGACAGAUACAUGCUGGAUUUCCUACAAGCUUUUCAGUACACAAAACUGUUGAUUAGUUUGUCCAUUUUUUUUUAUUGCCUGGGCCAGCAGGAUUCUGAGUAAAACACAGCUCUUUUAGCUCACAUGUUGAAUUUGGAGAAAAAAUUUUUUGUUGUUGUUGUUGUUUAAUUUGGGGUUUUGGGGUUUCAUUUUUGUUUGUUUGUUUGGUUGGGUUUUUUUGGGCUGGGAGGUGUAGGUGGUAUAAUGAUUUACUACUUCUUUAAGCAUGAAGACCAUGGGACCAUAUGGUUCUGAAUGUCUUAAAGCUAAUCCACUAUGUCACCUAAGCACCAUCUCUCCUUUUGGGAAAAGUUAUCAAGCCCUUACCUGGCAGAAUUUAAAUGUGAAACACGUAAAGGACAUUUCAGAAAACACAUAAAAUACUUUUGUACAUGAACUUUAAGUCUCGUAAGAUCUAUUUAAUAGUGACAAAGAACAAAAGACUUCUGAAAAAGAACUGGUUUAAAAAGCAAAAUUAAUACUUUUCCUAAAAGAAUUCGAUAAACAGUUAUCCUUACUCAGGAAGUCUGUGGCAUGAAACCUUUAUCACAUCAAACAAUAAUGAAGGGUGACAUUUAAAUCCUCAGCCUUUCUAAACUGUGACUCUGAAAAUGAAGCAUUACUGAUGCCUUUGACAAGAAAAAUAUAUGAAGGAAAAGGAGAUGUAGCACAGAGAUAAGCUAUUUAUUUUUACUGACCUCAGUCAAUCUUGUCCUUGUUUUUUAAAUAUUUCACCAGUCAACAUGCUACAAAAUGUGUCAUUCAUUAGAUCUGUCAGAGGCAGCAUCUUGGGUAAAUGGUUGUGAUGGAUUAGGAAAAUCCUAUGAAAAGCAAAAAUAGUGAUAAUUUUGCAGAAAAAUUGUAUACAAAUAUUGAAAAAUUGCUUUUUUUUUUCCGUAUGCCAAAGAUAUAACAAACUCCAAUGUGUCUGAUAAGUCUUCUAUGAAGUUAAAAAAGGCAAAACAAAAGGACAGGAGUUGUAAAGCCUUUUUAACAUUUCAUACUUGAAAUAGGAUGUUGUUUGUGAUUUGUAUUUGGGGGUGUUUUCUAAGGUGGUAUAUAUGUGAUAAAAGUAUAUGCCAGAUGAAAUUAAAUUAAUUUUUAUCUUUUUUUAGAAUAAUCUAAUUGUAAAACAAAAUGUGUUAAUGAAGUUGUGUUAAUGAAGAUGAGAAGAAUGUUGUGUCAGUUUGAUAUUGCUGACCAUAAAAUAGUUACAUAUGAUUCAUCUGCCCAGUCAAUACUUAGGAAUUCCAAGUUCUCAGUGCACCUAGCACAGAACAGGACUCCUGCUUGUUUAUGUCAUGAUGAGGACACAAAUGCCAUCCACAGAAAUUACAGAACUCUUUUUUAAAAAGAAUGAAUAAUUUUUUAAUUUUAAUAUAUUUUAUUUUGUCUAUAAUUUAAUAAAUAACAAAAGAAAGUUUAGUUUAUUUUACCCAAAAGACUCUCCAGUCUCUUCAGAAACAUUCCUUCACUGAACAAACCUAUCUCAGGCCAUAGCCUUAUUAGCAGAAAUGUGAUAUUAGUAAUUGAUCUGUCGCUUAAUUAAGCAACACAUCGAAGUAUGUACUUAAGUGAUCCUUAUUUAUUAGGAAGACUAAGCUGUUUUGAAAUUUUAUGAAAGUUAACACACAUUUAGGAGCUUUGAGGAAUGGGAACGCUGUUGAUGGUUAAGCACCACAGUGAAAUCCCUCACGUAGUACCUUAUUCUAGAUCUUUCAGUUCUCUGCGAUGCUUUACAAGAAAUUGUGUGGAGUCACACCAGGAGCACUGAAGGGGAAGAGGUGCAAGAUUUCAUCUUGAUCUCACCUAGGUGCCCUGUUAUGCCUUGUGCUGUGCAGGGACACCUUCCACCAGACCACAUAGCUCAGAGCUCCAUCCAGCCUGGUGUGAACACUGCCAGAGAUGGGGCAUCCAUAGGUUCACCUGUGCCAGGGCUUCACCACCCUCAUGAUAAGCAAUUUCAUCCUCAUAUCUAAUCUAAAUUUAUCCUCUUACAGUUUAGAAAUGUUUUCUCCUCUUUUAUCACCACAUAUUAUCAUAUAUAUGUGAGCAUGACAGUUAUUUUUGAAAUUUUGCUUCAUUAAUGCUUUCAAAUUUGUCUAGUUCACAAUGUCCCAGUUAGGAAUUAAAUACUUUUAAUUAUUUCAGUCGUCUUUUUCUACUGGAAAACAAAUUUUUAUCUUUGUACUAAACACAUACUUUGUAAUAGAAAUACUUAUGUCUAAUAAUAUAUGGCAAAGAAGGAAAAACCCAAACUAAGAAAAUGAGAAAUUAUUGCUUGCUGUAGAGUUGCACAAUCUUCAGGACUCAAUAAUAAAAGUACUACUGAAUUUCUAUGUUUCUCUUGCUCAGAUAGCUUUAAAAUCCAUUAUGACAUCUAACAACGAUAAUAAAAUUUCAGGGAAGGAAAAUACAUAAAGUAAAUUUAGAGGUGCCUUAUCUGGGAAUCAGAACACAUUCUUGGAGAAAUGAAGACACGCUAUUCUGUGAACAAUCUAAUAGGAUUAUAAAAGUAUUCUGAAAAAAACAUGGAUAUGUAAAGAUAUUUCAAGGUAUUUUAAAGCAUUUGAGCUUUUUUUUUUUUAUUAUUUCUUUUUCUAUUCUGCCUGUUUUUAAACAUUAUUAGCUUAUGAAAUUUAUCAUGUUUUAUAUGUAACUGAAAAUAUGGUAGACAAAUUCUUUAUUGUGAAAAUAUAUGAGUGUUCAGGUAAGCAAAGCUCAGCAGAAUUAUUUACGUAUGUUUAAAUAUAAUUCUUCAAAUAUGACUUCUAUUCCUAUCUCUUGGUGCUCAUGGAAAAAAGGCAAUAUCAGCAUUCUGGUUCAGUCUAGUUCUUAUUGGGCUAGUCUAUGCUAAAAAUCAUUAUUCUCAGCUAGUACAGUCCUAGCAGUGAAGAGAAUCUUUAAGCUGGAAACAAUGAAGUAUAUUAAAAAGUGGAAAUAUAUUAAAUAGGUUAAAAUAUAUGGAAAAAAUUAUGUAGGAUCCUAGUUUAAUUUUAAAGAACAUCAUCUUUGUAACCACUUGCAGUGUAUCCCAUUUUUAAAAAAAUAAAAUUACUUUCUUUCAUUUCCUUCUUUUGAACUUUGUUAUGAUCAGAGCUAUGUCACCAUUCUAAAACAUUGAGUGUUGUACUUGACUAUUUUGUUGUGCUUGUAUCGACUGCAUUUGUUUUUACUUUUUUUUAAUCUUGAAAAAAUUAAUGCUGUCCUUCCCUUAAUCAGGUAAUCUGCUCCUACCAGCCACUCUAUAUGUUUUUUUUUCUGGAACACUUUGUAUGAAUGUCAAAGUACCUGCUAGGGGAAAGGAUGUUUCCUUUAUGGACUUUUUUUUUUUAAUUAGAAAAAGAAUACAUGAUCAGUUAGGAAAAUAAAUUUGGAAAAAAAAAAAAAAAAAAGGAAGAUCUAGAAGAGAGUCCUUCGGAGACAUUCAUUAUACUGCCAUACUCAUGACCCAUUCUUUAGUUUCUUUUUUUUUUUUUUUUUUUUUUUUGUUGUUUAAAACAGCUUAUAUUUGCAUUCAGCAAAGGUAUAUUGAAGGGGAAUCUAAAAUUUUAGAUAAUUUUUAGCUGGGUACCAGCGGGGAAGUAGAACAGAAGUAAAACAUUAUAAUCUUUGAACCCUUGGAAUGUUUCAUGGAACAACACUCAAUUUUUAAAUGUGUUCCAUACUCUUUAGUAUAACAAUACUCCAUAUAUGUUCAUGUGUAUCACUGUAAAAUAUGUAAAAAAUGUCAUUGCUACUAGAUUUGUAGCUCAAUGGAGAAUUAUGUUUUAGAAAUAUUUUGUACUUUUGUAUUCAGAGACAUAAAUUACAAAUAGAUACAGUUUUCCCUAUCUCAUUCUUGCUGUAUGCCUCUGCAGUUCACCAGAAAUUUUAUAAGGAGCAACUACAUAAGAUUAAGGAUUUUUUUACUGAAUAUUUUUGAAGCACUAUCAUUUCUAUUAUCUACUUCCAGAAUUGUUUUCUGCAAAGUGAGUGCAUAAGUGGUGUAGUUACUCUUUUUAUUUUUCUCUUUUCAUGUAGCUACAGUGAGUUGUGAGCUCCAAUCCCACCAUUCCCAAAUCAGGAGAACCCUAUUGUAUUGAAGUCCAGCAAAGGACAGUCCACCAGAAAGAUUCUGUGUCUUGGGAUUUUUGCCUAAAUUAAGGUAUUUCCUGUGAUGUGGAAGGAGGAGCCUACCUAAUGUCAGCACAAAAUAUAUUGACUUUGAGCAGUAAACUUUUAUUUAUCCAGACUGAAUAAGACAUCACAAGUGGCAGGUAGGUUAUAGCCUUCACUAGAAUGU